GGCACCACCAACUCUCUGGGCACCCUGUGCCACUGCCUCACUGUCCUUAUUGGUUAAACCAUCUUCCUUAUAUCCACUCUAAAUCUCCCCUCUUAUAGCCUGAAACCAUUUCCCCCUGUCCUAUCUUACCCUGCUAAAAAAAGGCUGAAGAGAAAGAAGCACUGACUAGCACUGCUGGCGGUAAUGACUAUCGGUGAGAUCUCUGCUUAACAUGCAGGAAAAAAAUGUGCUCAUGGGUGUUCUUGGGGAAGCAGGUGGUCUCAUGCUGUCUGGGUGUCAGGGAUUUUGUUAAAGAGCCAAGCUAAAGUGAUUUCAGAACAGUCUGUAGUGUUUCUUGACAAAAAUGGGGCACCUGAAUGCCCUGGAGUUAAGUAGUACCUGUCUCUAGAAAGAAUACAAAGAAGGCCUGGGUAAUUACAGAUCUGUUUAAUUAUCAUCUGCAGAAGGAAAAAAUAUCUGAAACAAAAGCAGCCUGGAAGGUGCUGAAUAAGUAAAGCAUGUGGGUUUUCAGGAGAAAGUCAUCUCAAACCAAAGUAAUCCCAUGUGACAAGAUAAAGAGGCCCUUUGGCUUUGGGGGAGGCAGGACCUGACAAUAUGCUAAGCCUUUUAGUAUAGUUUUGCCUGGUGUGAUUCUGGAUGAAAUGGGUACAAAGUGGUUGGAUGAUCGUAUGCAAAUGGUUGUUUUGGGGUGCUUGUCCCAGGAACGCUUCUUUCAGUCUUGAGUAGUGAAUAGAGAGUGUAUGUGCACAUAUGGAUGAACCAGCCAUUGGGUAACUGGGAGAACCUGUAGGCUGUUGGGAGAGGGGUAUGGCUGGAAUUCAAGCCUUGAUGAAUGGAGAAACAGUCGUGGAAAAACUAGGGUGCCAUGCAGUACAGGUAAAUGCAUGUUGCUCCACUAUAGGAGCUCUAUAAGCAGCAUCGACUCUACAGACCAGCAGCAGAAACUGCUGGUGUUAAUACUGGAUCACAAGCAAAACAUGAGUCAACAAACUUGUCCGGUUGUGGAGAAGAAAACAUCACAGCGGGCUGUGAACUGAACUGCAGUCAGCAAAGCACGUGUUGUGAUCUCUUCAUUCCACUCAGCGCAUGUAGGGUUGCCUUGCGCAGUAGGCGUUGAUGCUUUCCAAUGGGGCUGCUGCAUGCGUGCCUUAAGUAGUGUCAACCAAUGGGCAUCUUUACACAAUGGGCAUCUUUACACAGGCAGAUGUGGUAGAUGGAAACUCCUGAAACACAGCCUUGUCUGUCUGGGUCACCUUGUUUGGAUGCCUGUAGUCAGAUGCAGAGACUGCAGGCACUUCCCUAAUCCCAACCCUUCCAUUACUUUUUCCUACUGAAUUGUCAGUGUUCAUGUCUUUCCUCUUGACUCUUUCUGUGCUGCAGCCAUCCUGUAACCUUGCUUUGUCUUAUGUUUUGGUUUUUUUUUUCCCCCCCAGUUUAUCAGCUUUUUUCUCCUGAUUUUAGGGAGCUGGGCUGCACUGAAGUUAGGCAUUGGGUCCUUGGACAUGGCGUAACCCCUUGGAGAGGUGGCUUAGAGGAUCACGCUAUCCCCCACUGUCUUGGAGACAGUGUCACUGAAGGCCAAGAGAGGCAAAUGAUGGCAGGGGAUGGAGUAGGGUUUGCUGUAGCCUCCAGCCCGUUGUGCUCCUGUGGUGCCGUGUUCUCCCAGACCAGACCUUCCAUCACACAGAAUUACAAUAGAAGCCUUUGCAGCUGAUUCCUUUGUGCAGUGCUGCCUCUAGCUUGGACUCUGCUUAAAGGCAGUCACAACUUCAUCUCAGCAAUUUGCCUGGAGAUCGUUGCCUGCUGCUUCCAGGUAAAUGUCCAGGAAUGUGGCCACAAGAUCAGAUAGAGCAAGACUGGCAAUGGUGGGAGCUGGGAGGUGUCAGGGUUUAUCUGUGUGCAAGGGCCUGGUGUGCUGUGAGCACACCGUGGGUGAUGUGUCUGCGAGCAGAGGCCCGGCACUAAUGCCAUCCUGCACGGCUGUGGAUGAAUUCACCCUUUAUUCAGUGCUCUCUACCCCUGCUGGGCUGGAGAUCGUGCUGCAGACAGCACACACGGUUGCUGCCAUUUGCAGAGCUUGUUCAGCCAGGCUUCUACACCCCGUGCUUCUCAUCCCAGGCAGAACCUAGGCUGUGGCAUAGCACACACAGUGAGACCUCUAUUCUUGGACUACACAGCCUCUGAGCUGCUCCUUUGGGCUGUAGGGUGAUGGAUAUGUGCCCACUGGAGGUCCUGACAAAGCAGAGUGAACAGCAGUGCUACGUUAGCCCCGUACAUCUCCUCCUCUCUCACUGGAUCCGCAGCCUUCACUGCAGCUCUUCACAGUUACAUAAAUAUGGCCUAUUUUCCCCAGGAAUUAACAUCUUGCUCGCUAAGUUUAGGUUUUCACAGGCACACAAAACAAACCAUCUGAUGCUUCACGUGCAGCUGGGAUGCUGGCACAGCCCCGAGGAGCAGCAGCCCCUGGCCAUGUAGAGCCCUUCCAGCAGUGCUGACUGUCCCCCAGUGAGUGACAUAGCCCUGCCACGUCCUGGGCAUGGCACUGCCACCACCCACAGGGCCCCAUCCUUUUCCCCUGGGCCAGCCAUACCUCACCUCAUCCCUGCAGCCUGUGUGCCUUCCCUGGGGGGGGACACAGGAGGUUGGCUGCUCUCUUGGAGCACGCAGCCGAUGGUUCCUCGCUCCCCAGAUGUGUUUUGUUGUUGUUUUCCCUUCGAUGCGUCGCACCUAUUGACCUUAUCAGCAGCAGCCACAUGGUGGGAUGUCUGUGUCUUUCUGGAAUUGCUGAUGGAAAGAGUAGGGAGCUGAGAUCAACAGUAAGAGGAGAGGGGCUGGGUGAUCCCCGUUGCAAUGGGAUUAGCAGUGGGCUUUGAUGCUGGGAGGAAAGGCAAGGCAGUGCCUGUAGCUCUGCUGUGCUCACUGCGCUUGGAUUUCUCUGUCUCUAUUGUUGUGAUAUUAAAAUGGUGGAUUGCGUUUCCUC
ensembl:lncRNA